UACAGAGGUCUCAACCGUUGUUCGGAUUCAUUGGGCGUAAAGGGUGCGUAGGCGGUCGCGCAAGUCGGAUGUGAAAUCUCAGGGCUCAACCCUGAAACUGCAUUCGAUACUGCGUGGCUAGAGUGCUGGAGAGGAGACUGGAAUUUACGGUGUAGCAGUGAAAUGCGUAGAUAUCGUAAGGAAGACCAGUAGCGAAGGCGAGUCUCUGGACAGCAACUGACGCUGAGGCACGAAGGCCAGGGGAGCAAACGGG
rnacentral:rRNA from 1 species